rnacentral:rRNA from 1 species
CAAUAGCGUAUAUUAAAGUUGUUGCAGUUAGAACGCUCGUAGUCGGAUUUCGGGGCGGGCCGACCGGUCUGCCGAUGGGUAUGCACUGGUCGGCGCGUCCUUCCUUCCGGAGACCGUCCCUACUCUUAACUGAGCGGGGGCGGGAGACGGGACUUUUACUUUGAAAAAAUCAGAGUGUUUCAAGCAGGCAGCUCGCUCUUGCGUGGAUUAGCAUGGGAUAAUGAAAUAGGACUUUGGUGCUAUUUUGUUGGUUUCGAACACCGAAGUAAUGAUGAGAAGGGACAGUCAGGGGCACUCGUAUUCCGCCGAGAGAGGUGAAAUUCUCAGACCAGCGGAAGACGAACCACUGCGAAAGCAUUUGCCAGGGAUGUUUUCACUGA